CGCACCAUGACAUUUUGGGUCCAAAUUCGGCGUUACGUCAUUUGAGAAAACAUCGAUUAAAGUUACGUCACAAAAAAUGGUGGACGUUACCACGUGUUCGCGGCAAUUAAUGCAUUAAUGUUUUCAAUAAUACUCUACCUUGCCACAAGAAAUAAAUGAAGUGACAUAAACAUUUCCUUGUUUUGCAAUUUCGUUUCUUUAAAUUUUUAAAAUGAUUGAUAAUUUAUCGCCCUUUGAAUCGACACGCCAUUUGUAAACAUCGAAGGUCGCGGAGAAAAUGAAAUUACCAAAAACAGUUAUUUGAUGAUUUAUUUCGAUUGUAUAAAGAAUCACAGUUAACGAAUCUCAAGAUCAACCACUGAGGAUUGUUUGGCUUGAUGCAAUGACCUUAAACAGUUAAAGGAUUUUCCAGGAAGGUCUAUACACCACAAGCUGGAUUUUUUGGGGUGAUGAAAGAACUAUGAAUAUGUGAAAGGGAAUGAAACAGAAUGAAUUAAUAUGUUAUACUGAUCAUCCAGCUGAAAUCAUGCCUAUGGAAUAGAGUGCAUGUCACAAAUACUGAUAUGAGCAAAUAACUUCAUAUUGCACAAAUAAGUUCAUGUUUCCUGCCCUCAUGACCUGAAAAAGUUAAACAGUCUAAUUCAAAUUACAUAUGUGUUUCAAGAAAAAGUAAAACUUAGUCAACUGUGAGAAACAUUGGGUAAAAGUAUUUUAUAAGUGUUUUGUUGCCAUGACAGCAGAAUUGUUCUAACAAUACAGAAUUUAACUUAUGAAUUUUCCAAAACUGCAUGCAUGAAAUACUAAGACAUGUCUGUUGAAUAAAUCCUAGUUGUUUCAAAACUACAACAUGUAUGACAUUUAGAGCACAACCUUUGGAUGAAACAUUUUUACAAUCAAAACUGCCUUGCCAGUGUGGGUGUAGGAAGGAUUUUCCCAGAAAUGGCCAUGACAGAAAACUUCCAAUAUAGCAGAAAAUAUUUGUUUCUGGCUAAAUAUAAUAUAUUUUAUUUCAAGCAUUAAUCAUGUAAAUCCAUGGUUAUAACUGUGUUAAAAGAUAUUUUUACAUGAACUUUGCAGAAAUAGCUAAUUUUGUUGCAAAACAUUGUGAGUUGCCAUGGUAACACAAAUUUGACUUUAAUUUAGAUUUGUUUGAUUAUGUAGACAGCAUGUUUCUUAUUUAUAUUCUGCAAAUCAGACUAAUAUCUUUUAUGUGUAAUCAUUGCAUCAACAAAACAUGUCAUAACACAAAUCUGCCAUAAAAUGGCAGAGUUGUAAUGCAAAAUAUGUAGUUCUCAGUGUCAAAUUAUAUUACAUGAAACAUGUUUUUUUUUUAAUAAAUGAUCAUAAUUGACCAUUUGUGGUGUAAAACAAAUGUAUACUGAACAGAUGCUAAAUGAAUGUUCUGAUUCUUUAAGAAAAUAUUGCAUUGUUGCCAUGGUAACAUUAAUUUGACUUUUAAAUUAUUUUGGAUAUCAUCAUAUGUAAACAACAUCUUUCUUGUUUAUAUGUUAUAUUUGUUAAGCUGUAUUAUGUUAGUGAAUAUAUUUUCAUAUGUAAUAAUUGCAUCAGCAAAGCACUAUGUUAUCACACAAGUCUGCCUUAAAAUGGCAAGAGCUGUAACUGAGAGAGGUGUAUCCGAAAAGUAUGUAUUUCUCAAACAAUAUUACAUUAAUUUGCAUGGAAUGAUGUCUCUUACUUUUAAAUAAGAAAACAGACAGCUUUUGAUGUAAAUUUAUGGAAAAACACUUCAAAUGUUCAAAUUAUUACAAAGAAAUUAACAAAAAUGUUAGUAUUUUUGUAAGAAAAUACCACAUUGUUGCCAUGGUAAUGUUAGUAUUUUUGUAAGAAAAUACCACAUCGUUGCCAUGGUAAUGAUUCACUGAUCAGUAUAUCUAAAUCUUCUGAAAUUUUAGCAAACUCACAGUUGAUAAUAACAGUCUAAUAAUUAUAUCUUCUUGCCUGA